rnacentral:rRNA from 1 species
AACGAACGCUGGCGGCAUGCCUAACACAUGCAAGUCGAACGAUGCCUUCGGGCUUAGUGGCGCACGGGUGCGUAACGCGUGGGAAUCUGCCUUUCGGUUCGGAAUAACUCAGGGAAACUUGAGCUAAUACCGGAUAACGUCGCACGACAAAAGAUUUGUCACCGGAAGAUGAGCCCGCGUAGGAUUAGCUUGUUGGUGAGGUAAAGGCUCACCAAGGCGACGAUCCGUAGCUGGUCUGAGAGGAUGAUCAGCCACAUUGGGACUGGGAUACGGCCCAGACCACUAUGGGAGGCAGCGGUGGAGUAGAGUGCACAAGGGGAGGGAGCCUGGUGUGGCAAAGCAGCGUGGGGUAUGACGGCCUGCGGGUUGGGAAGUGAUUUCGCCUGUGACGAAGAGAGAGUGACGGUAACGGGUGAAGAAGCACCGGCUAACUACGUG